ensembl:lncRNA
AAAUUUAUUUAGCGGUUUUUUUAAAUUCUUACAGUUUUACAUGAUUAAAUUAAGUAGGAGUGGAAAAGGAAGCAAAUUAAUCUCCAGGGUCUCCAAGGCCAAAACAAUGAACAAAAACUUCAAGGUUCACAUAAAAAAGAAAUGGCAGAGACCCUACCAAACUUCCACUAACUUCUAAAUACCACGACUAAACCGUAAAAUUGGCUUCCAAAGCACAAAUCAAAGAAAGCAAAAACAGCACUAAUGUUUCCCAGGACUCAGUAGCCAAAAGACAAAGAGAGUAACACACUUGCUGCUGGGGGGAUUAUGCUGCUCCACAAGUGAUCUUGAUGCUGCUCAGCUGUGUCAAUCAGGUGUAGAAACCUGGAACAGAGAGCGAGGGAGAGAGCAACUCUCUUGCAGGAAGAGGCCUAAAGGUCAGUGGAUGUAACACAAACCAAUCCAACAUCUGACAGUUGAUGAAGUUACUUCAUAAUUCAUGUUUGGUAUUAAAGAAAACCACCCAGUGAGGCUGAGUCUUUCUGAACUGAAGAGGGAUGAGUUUUCCAGUCUGUGAAACAUUGACUGGCUGUGAUCUUCAGACCAUCUGGUGGCAGUGCCUUAAACACUGUCAUGAUUUUGAAGAGAAAAUAAUUUUUGUGGUCAGAAACAACUCUGAAAACCAUUUUCAGUCAACACAGUUCAUUUCUGCAUCGAAAUAACAUCUGAGCUCAUUAAACAUAGAUUGAAGAGAAGUGGGAAACUGUACUGCUGUUUUCAGCACACAGUCCAAAGUAAUGUAAAGUGAUGUAUGUGGGGGCUUGGUAGCCUGGACAUCUGUGAAAGCCAGCCAGUCGGUACAUAAUGAUACAUACUGGUUUUGGAGUAACAUCGGCUGCCAUCCAGAAGAUGUCUCUGUCAGGGAAGGUCCUUCAUGUUUCAACAGGUUGUCUUUGUGGUAUUUCUUUUAAAGUAUAGGCUCUAAGUGUCUCAUAAAAUGAUUAUCUGUUUUAUUUACAAUUUGAAUGCAUGUCUGAGCAUUUUUGGAAGUUAUUAUGAAUUAAAUUAUCUUGUCUUUUUAAUUUCAGGUGACUGUGUUGCAGUUCCACCUUCUUCUGCCCUCCGUGUCAGUCUUAUUUUGGCAGUUUUUCUCAUUUGUACUUGUACAACAGUCAUUGUUCUGUGGAUAUGGAGACAAAACAAAAUCAAAGAGAAAAGGAGGCAAGCUAAGGAUGAAGCUGAGGAGAAAGAGAAAGAGCAGCUGUUGGCAGAAAACAAGAAGUCUGAAGAACUACAGCGGAAAGAGGAAGAGCUGAAAGACCUGGAGGAGCUGGUUAAUAUACUGAUUGAACAGGAAAACGAACUGAAGAAAGUAAAAAAUGAACUCAAACAACAAAGGGAUAUGGUGGAUGGUGAGGUGGAGGAUAUUGAAAACAAGCUUCGGUCAGUGGAUAAGAACACAGAAAGUGACAGAGCAAAGGGAUACAUGGAUCUGAAAGAAAUAAUAACAGAAAGCAAAAACAAAUUACUAAAGAAAAAAGCAGCAAAUUCAGUGCUGCAAACAAACAUUGAAAACCGUCUGCUUAGAACACAGCACAUACAUGAUAAAAUGACCCAAAGAAAACCGGAAGUCGAGAAACAACUGGCAGAGUUACAGAAACAGACAGAUGAGAUUGAGAAGACACUUAAUUUAGAGCAAAAUCAGGAAACUUUAAACAUUUAGAAAAAAUCUCAAACCUCAUGUAGAGAGGUUUGAAAAGUACUUCUUGUAUCUGCUGAUGGUACGUACCGCCAGCCUGUCCUUCCGUGAUGGCUCAUCUCAUCCCCAUCUUCCCUUCUUUCUCAGGUGUCUGCUACCUGAGGUAUUCACUAAGCACAUCAUCUGUUGUGGCCAUCUUCCUGAUGUACUCAUGGAUGUUUGUUGUCCCAUCCUGGACGGUGGUUCUGACACUCAUUAAUGCACGGUCACCUUUCUUUGGUUUAGCGCACAGACUCAGGGUGAUGGAUUUGGGGUGAAUCAGAAUUAGAAUAAGAAUAGUUUAUUAAGCCUUAAUUAAACUAUGUGUGUACACCUUCUCCAAGAUAAUAAGAACAGUAACAGACUGAAAUUAAAUAAUACAAUAUAUAACAAAGUUACAAAAUAUAAGAAAUAGCUCUAAUAUAUGCAAAUAUACAGAUUAUAAAUAUCCAGAACAUUACAGGGAUUAAAUAUGUAUGGUUUUACUCUAAACUGUAAAGUGUAACUGAAACCCCAUGCAUGGUAAAGAGCUUCCUUGUCUUGAUGUCAGUGGCUUUUAUCUCUGCCUUUGGCCAGCUUAUUAUCCCACCAGGGUGCCUGAUCACGGGUCAGAUACAGUGUGUUGAUUGCCUGGAUCUUGUUCUUCCUAUUCAGCUGACUCUUCAGGUCUUACCUGACUCUCUGCAGGUAUUUCACUGUUACAGCUUUCCUGGCAGCCUCUUUGAGGUUCCCAUGUGUAUGGGCUCAAAUUGUGGUCAUAAAUAUUUUGUACUUGUUAAUCAGAAUGUGUAGUUGUGAGUUUUGUAACCUUCAAAUGAAAAUAUAUGAAAAUAUGAUGUUUUUGCAUCUAUAAAUUAGAAUUUGUGUGUGUGUGUGUGUGUGUGUAAAAACAUUUGUGUUACAAUAUUUUUUUGGUAAGGUCUGCUUACAGAUACAAAGCAAAAAAACUAUGUGUAAAACUCACGUUUCCCGGCUGCGUGUGAAUUUCAACUUACAAGUACGAAUUUUUACCCGAUUUUUCUUCUUUUCUUCAAUUUAAACUCCAGUUUAAAUUUAUAAAGUCAUUUCCACCUCAUGUUCUGUCAAAUAUUUACAUCGUCUCCAAGAUCCAACUGUGAUAAACAUUUUUCAGUCAGUGUGAUUGAUAAUAAUAGGACAAAUGAUCACCGAUCAGUGUGUAAUAUGCAGUCAAUGGAACUGACAGUCUGACAGUUGUAUUAAUGCCCACAGACUGGCACAGUUAGAAACAUGGAGACUAGAUUUUACUCUGAGCUGACAAUAAACCUGUGGUCCUGUGUAAUAUAAAUAUACACACACACACACACACACACACACACACAUAUCCCCAACUAGCCAUCCUCUCUGAGACUGAUUCAAGACUUAUGUUAUUAUUGGGUGAUAGCAUCUCAAAAUACGAUCACCCUCAACAUCUUCUCAGAUCCAUUUCAUGCAAAAACGGAGCAAACUAAAAAUCUGUGUCAUUGUAACCCAGUGUUAAGUUAGUCUUUUGAUAUUAUGUGACAUUCAGUUACAUCUAUUGGUUGUUUUGUUAGAACAUGCCCUACAGUAAUUGCAAGUUUUACAAUGUCACUGAUUUAUGCCUGUUUCACGACAGUCAACUGGGGAGUAAACUCUGGUGGGAGGGGCUGUGAACUCACAUGGCCCGUGGCAGUUGCAGAAUAAGCUUGUGUGAGCCAGCCAUGAUAUCUGUACAAGCAGUAGCCUUAAGAUAUUCACUAUUCAUUCUCCUGCUAGUGGUGGAGGAGACUUUUCUUAUGGGGAAGAGGCCGUGCGGUCCUGCCGUCUUACUGGUGCCACUGAGAGAGGCUACAUAUUCUUCUGGAACAUCGAGUUUUGGACCCAAGUAAUCACAGACACGUUUCACAAUUUAUUCAGGGUCUGACAGCAGUCCACCAUCUCUUCCAAUAUGUAAUACAAAUUUCCGGAUUGGAGCAUGUAUGUUCUUGAGAACUGACCGUGUCCUCCCCACACCAGGGGAAACCAUAGGGUCCUGAUGCAUUGGAGAUUUAAAAAAAAAAAAAAAACACUCCUGUGAGUUAGGCCAAAUUCAUCUGCCAAGACAGAAGCGUUUGCAAGAGACUCAACUUUUUGUUCAUUUAAAUAAAAUACCACAUGCUCUAGCGAAGAUAGAAACGAAGAUAGAAAUGCCUUGAAUCCGGAUGCAUGCAUGUGUCCAUGUCCGCUAUCAGCAGUCCGUGAUGGCAUAGCUCCAUCACACAUAAGCUGCAACAAAACAAGCAGCAGUUGAAUUCUUAAAAGUAUGUUGAUCUGAUCAGCUUCCUGCAGCAGGUUCAAAAUCGCUCUUUUCAAUUCAUCUCUGUUUGAUAAUUUCUCAUCACUAGUAUCAGAAAUAAAGGUAAAUCAACAUGAUCAGCAGCGAAAGCAAAUGAAUCUGUCCAAGCAAAAUUAAACACUAUUUUCCUAAAGUGUAAAUUAAUGUCAAGUGUUAACAAACCACUGGUGUAUGAUCUGUAAUCAGAGCUGUGAAAUGCAAUUAUACAUGAUAGCCUUUGACUUUAUGAUAUUUGGAGCCAAAAAACUGUGAGGUGGCAGACCGUGGUUGAGUGGGACCCAAAAUGCAAGACUCUUGCAAUGAAAACAUGUCUUUAUUAACAGUGAAGGAAAUAAAAGGCAAACAAAAUUUCCCCUUGCGCUCCCGACUCCAUCUUGUGUCUUCUUCCCGCAUCCGUGCUCCGUGUCUCCGCUCCCUGUGUACUAUUAGCUCGCUGCCUCCUCGUUUCCGCAAUUCCUCCUGGGAAACACACACACAGGCAGACGUUAAUACAAUUCCAAAAACUGCGGCAGACUCACACUUACUAAGUUGCUGGGAAACUGAUGGGUAGUCACACAAUGAUCCAGCGUCGGAGACAGCUCCACCACACUCCUAAGUAGCUCCUCCGACAAGGCUUAAUCAGCUGCAGGUGUGAGUAAUUUUCCUCUGCAGGUGUGGCCAGGCUCCUGGCUUACACACGCACGCACACCCACCUAGAUACACAAACAUUGAAACAGGAGACAGCAGCACCAAAAACACACAUGUCCGUCACCCAGACCCAGGGCCCGUGACAAAAGGUUUAAAUUAGUAAACGUGUCACACACAAACAAACAAUACUCAAUACUUCAUCAAUAUGAACUUUACAUGUAAAUUAAAU